UACUAUCUCUCAGAAAUCUUUUAUCUCAUUUUUCUCUCUCGAUAAGAAGGUAAGAAAACAUUAAACGAAAAUGCACGUACGGCGACUUACGUCCGUAUCAUGUUUUUAUAGUUUAAAUUGGUUUCGGGUUUAAAAAAAAAUAUUCUUACCUGGAAUAUUCAUAUGCAAGUAUUUAUCGGUAAAAUUUUAUUAAGUUAGAUACACUAGCCAAUAUAAUCUAAAUUAUUUGAAUAACAUUAAGAGUUAAGAGUUAAAAUCCUGAUUUUUAGAAAACAAAUUAAAAAAAAAUUCUUGAAAUGAAGAUAGUAUGCACAAAUAUUAGGAUUCGUAAAAAUACAUUUCGAUAUUCGGCCAUUUAAUUUUUAGGACAUUCUGACGCUUAUUAUCCAGUUUAUCUCGUUGAAGAAGCAAUCACCCCUGUUACCGAUGCCAAGAUAUACGAGAAGACGUCUUCUCCGUUACCGCUUUAAAAAAAAAAUGUUUUUAUAAUACUUCAAGUUUUAGGUCCGACUUUGUAAAGAGUUUACCAAAAAAAGAUUUGUGUGGUCAUGUGGGCGGAUUAGAAGAUAUACAAAUGUAUUUACCAACUAAAACUUAGACAUACUAAAUCUGAACGGUCUGAGUUAAAAAAGAAACACAGCUGACAGAUUUAACCCAUAAAUUUAUUCAAUGCUGGAAAAUAAACAAAAAUACAUGCAUACCUUCUGCGUACUUGUCAAAUGGAAAUUGACAAAGCAAAAAAAAUCAUACUUAAGUUUCAAAAUGACAGUUUAAAUAUCAAUUUUGCUUGUGUUCAAGGCGCCAAAAGAAGAACCUACAACUUAAACACAAAGGUUAAAAAUGUCGAAACAUGCAGGAACUGAUUUCUGAAACAUUUGUUUAACACAAGGAAAGUCCGGCAGGACAUAACUCAAAACAAUCAAUAAAACUUUCUCACAAGUUGUAAUUGUGAGGGACUAAACUAAAUGGAGCAAGCCUUUGCCAUCAGAAAUUGUAUUUAAGCUCUUAUUGAAAAAUAUGCAAAAACUUUUUUAAUUUGUCCAAUAAUUAUUCAGUUGAAAAUGUCUUGGGACCUUGGGAGGCAAAUUUUAAUCACAAAAAAAAAAUAAACAAAAAUAUGAAUUUAUUAUCCUUUGGUUUUCAAGAUGUCAGGAGCAUCUCUAAUCUUAGUUGUCCACGACAAUUUUUUUUCUGAUGUUAAUUUUGUUGUUCUGAUUAAAGUAUAAAAAUAUAUCAAUAUUAUUCUUAAAGUAAGAUUUAUGUAAGUCAUCUGGAGAAAAUGCUUUUAAACUUAAGCUUAUUUCAAAAAAGGCUAAACUACAAAGCACUCGAAAUCUGUUAAUUAUUAUUUUUUUUUUAAGAUAAAUUAAAAUACAUUUGUGUCACUUCUUUUAAUUUAUCUAAAUUUUCGGUCACUUAAUACUUUACGAAACAUAAACCAGAUGACAAUCUUACGAAUGGGAAGGUAAAAUAAAAUUAAUGUACCUAGCAGUCAAAGCGUGAAACCACAUCUUUUAAUUUUAUUCCCUCCGAGUAUCUAUAGGUGUCUGUCUAUACUAAUGUACAUAAGUGUAGGCAGUUAUCCUACAAACAAUUUAUUGUUGUGUUAAAAAAUCUUUGCUAAUAGAAUUUAAAAUGUAUGUACGUGGAUGCUCCUGCUGCAGAAAAUAUCUGAGUUAUGCCCUAGUAACAGGAAGGCUGAUACAAACCAAUCAAUUUAAAUUAUGACAAGAAACGCAAUAGCCUUCAAAAUAUUUGCUACAAAUAUUCAAGAUAAAGUGGGAGGCAGGGUUUUCGUGAUUCUUCCAAAAAUAAAAUGCCCGACUGGGUCACGCGUCCAUUUAUGUUAAAAUAGCUAAAGUCAUGCUUGAACCAAACUUAAUCCAUAGCUAAUUCGCCGAAAUCGGAGAGUUAAAUUCCUGAACCGAGUUGGGUGGAAAGGUGUUUUUUCGCGGACAAGAGGGAGGGGUUGAAGGUCAAAUAUAUACUGAAAAAAAUUGUUUGUCGAAUAUCAUCAUAUGACACAUGUUUUCAAGGUAUUUUUUUAUGCUAAAUCUAAUGACAUAAAAAUAAAGUCAAUACGAUUGCUCUAAGAAAAGUUAUUGGCGAUUAAAAACAAGGGUGCUUGUUUUUUUUGGUUUUUUGACCUCAACAGGUAAAAUAAAACCAACACCCAUGUGAAAAAUAUGCUUCACUGAUAAAAUUCGGGAUGAAGGUUUUAGAUAAAGCAGGACCAAAGGGUUCAUAAAGUUCUUAAAAUUAUUUUUGGUGAAAGGGUGUUUUUUUGAUGGGUUAAGUUGUGUGUGAGAAAGGUAUCAUAACAGCUGACUUAAAUUUUAUUAAUUUUUAAAACUUGGUGUAAAAGUUUUGGUUGGUAUAACAAUUAAGAAUCUAUAAAGUGUACAAAAUUAUCUUGAGUGAAAGGGUGUUUUUUUUUAUGAAAUCAUUAAAUUCGGAAUAAGUACCACAAAAACUGGGAAAAAAUUGUUACACCAAUGAAAAUUGUUAAAAAUGUUUCGCUUAUAACAGAAACCAAGAACCCAAACAGUCUAUACAAAUAUUUUAGGUAAAAGGGUGUUUUUUUUUUAAAUAGGGAAAAUCCGCGAUAAGUCCCAUAAAAUCAAUGGUAUAAAAGGUACCCUUACGAAAUUCAUUAAAUAUGUUCUCUUUCCCAUAGGAAUUACGAAUAAAAGAAAUCUAUACAUUUUUUUCAUGUGAAAGGGUUUUUUAUUUAGGUGUAGAGAAAAUAUGGGUAUAUUUGAAAAAGUGUGUAAUACUAGAGUAAUAUUAGUGGUACCCUAUUGAAAUUCAGUAAUUAUGUUACUCUUAAGAUAAGAAACAAGAAACUAAAGGGUCUAUAAAAAUAUCAUGGUCAAAAGGGUGUUUUUUUGAGUGGAAACAAAAAUGAUGGGUCACCCUAAUAAAAUUUGGUAAAAAUUUUGAAUUUGGGAUAGAAAGCAUAAAAAAAAUUCAGGUGAAAGGGUGAGGCAGUAAAAUCUGUAAUUGGUCCUAAUAAAAUUUAAGUCUAAAAAAUAGACAGUAAUAUCAGCAUUUUUAUUUUCAUGAUGAAUAAUAAUCAC